rnacentral:rRNA from 1 species
AGAGUUUGAUCCUGGCUCAGAGCGAACGUUUGCGGCGGGCCUAACACAUGCAAGUCGAACGGGCUAGCAAUAGUCAGUGGCGCACGGGUGCGUAACACGUGGGUAAUCAACCCUUCAGCUCGGGAUAACGUCUUGAAAGGGACGCUAAUACCGGAUACGGCGCGAAAGGCUUCGGCUUUUCACGAGAAAGAUUCGCAAGGAUUACUGAAGGACGAGCCUGCGGCCCAUCAGCUAGUUGGUGAGGUAAGAGCUCACCAAGGCUAAGACGGGUAGCUGGUCUGAGAGGAUGAUCAGCCACACUGGAACUGAGACACGGUCCAGACUCCUACGGGAGGCAGCAGUGGGGAAUAUUGCGCAAUGGGCGAAAGCCUGACGCAGCCACGCCGCGUGAGCGAUGAAGGCCUUCGGGUCGUAAAGCUCUGUGGGGAGAGAAGAAUAAAGCCUGUGAAGAGCAGGCCUUGACGGUAUCUCCUUAGCAAGCACCGGCUAACUCCGUGCCAGCAGCCGCGGUAAUACGGAGGGUGCAAACGUUGCUCGGAAUCAUUGGGCGUAAAGCGCACGUAGGCGGCGUGAUAAGUUGGGUGUGAAAGCCCUGGGCUCAACCCAGGAAGUGCAUUCAAAACUGUCUCGCUUGAAUCUCGGAGGGGGUCAGAGAAUUCCCGGUGUAGAGGUGAAAUUCGUAGAUAUCGGGAGGAAUACCAGUGGCGAAGGCGCUGACCUGGACGAAGAUUGACGCUGAGGUCGAAAGCGCGGGGAGCAAACAGGAUUAGAUACCCUAGUAGUCC